rnacentral:sRNA from 1 species
AACCAAAUUAGUAUAUGAGCAUGCGGUA